rnacentral:rRNA from 1 species
CCAGCGGAGGGAUCAUUACUGAGUUUUCAACUCUAAAACCAUUUGUGAACAUACCUAUCUUUACUGCUUUGGCGUGGUCCUUCGGGAUUGUGCCGGUAGUAUUUACAAACUCUUUUAAUUUCUAGAGAAUUAUUCAUUGCUGAGUUGCAUUUAACAAAUAGUUAAAACUUUCAACAACGGAUCUCUUGGCUCUAGCAUCGAUGAAGAACGCAGCGAAAUGCGAUAAGUAAUGUGAAUUGCAGAAUUCAGUGAAUCAUCGAAUCUUUGAACGCACAUUGCGCCUAGCAGUAUUCUGCUAGGCAUGCCUGUCCGAGCGUCAUUUCACCACUCAAGCUUCGCUUGGUGUUGGAGGACCCGCUGUCAAGCGGGCCGCCGAAAUGCAUCGGCUGUAGUAUUUGCAGCUUCCCUGCGUAGUAAAACUUUGUGUUACGCUUUGAACCUCUUGUACAACAUGCCGUAAAACAACCCACUUUUGUAAGGUUGACCUCGGAUCAGGUAGGAAU